rnacentral:ncRNA from 1 species
ACACCCGUGAGAAUGCCCUUUAACUUCCUCCGGGAAGUGAGGAGCUGGUAUCAGGCACAUUUUACAGAUAGCCCAAGACGCCUUGCUAAGCCACACCCUCAAGGGGAGCCAGCAGUGACAAACAUUAGGCAAUAAGUGAAAACUUGACCUAGUUAGUAUUUAUGAGGGCCGGUUAAACUCGUGCCAGCCACCGCGGUUAUACGAUAGGCCCAAGCUGACAGAUUCCGGCGUAAAGGGUGGUUAGGUGAUUUUUAAAAUAGAGUUAAACGCCCACAGAACUGUUCAAAGUAUCCGAGGGUCAGAGAAUCGUCUACGAAAGUGGCUCUACUAAACUGAAACCACGAAAGCUAAGAAACAAACUGGGAUUAGAUACCCCACUAUGCUUAGUCCUAAACCUUGAUGACAUUGCACAUAGUCAUCCGCCUGGGUACUACGAGCACUAGCUUAAAACCCAAAGGACUUGGCGGUGCUUAAGAUCCGUCUAGAGGAGCCUGUUCUGUAACCGAUAACCCCCGUUCAACCUCACUUUCUCUUGCUCUCAGCCUAUAUACCGCCGCCGUCAGCUUACCCUGUGAAGGACUUGUAGUAAGCAAUAUCAGUCUAACUCAAAACGUCAGGUCGAGGUGUAGCAUAUGAGAAAGGAAGAAAUGGGCUACAUUUUUUAUUAUAAAAAACACGAAGAUUAUACUGAAACGUAUUUUUGAAGGAGGAUUUAGCAGUAAAUAGGAAGUAGAGUGUCCUAUUGAAGAAGGCCCUAAAGCACGCACACACCGCCCGUCACCCUCCCCGAAUACAAAUAUUCUAAUACUUAAUACGUUUUACCAUACAAGGGGAGGUAAGUCGUAACAUGGUAAGUGUACCGGAAGGUGCACUUGGAUAAACU